AGCGAACGCUGGCGGCAGGCCUAACACAUGCAAGUCGAACGAACCCUUCGGGGUUAGUGGCGGACGGGUGAGUAACACGUGGGAACGUGCCUUUAGGUUCGGAAUAACUCAGGGAAACUUGUGCUAACACCGAAUGUGCCCUUCGGGGGAAAGAUUUACCGCCUUUAGAGCGGCCCGCGUCUGAUUAGCUAGUUGGUGAGGUAAUGGCUCACCAAGGCUACGAUCAGUAGCUGGUCUGAGAGGAUGACCAGCCACAUUGGGACUGAGACACGGCCCAAACUCCUACGGGAGGCAGCAGUGGGGAAUCUUGCGCAAUGGGCGAAAGCCUGACGCAGCCAUGCCGCGUGGAUGAUGAAGGUCUUAGGAUUGUAAAAUCCUUUCACCGGUGAAGAUAAUGACUGUAGCCGGAGAAGAAGCCCCGGCCAACUUCGUGCCAGCCGCCGCAGUAACAC
rnacentral:rRNA from 1 species